GACGAACGCUGGCGGCGUGCCUAAUACAUGCAAGUCGAACGAACCGCGACUGAGUGCUUGCACUUGGUCAAGGUGAGUGGCGAACGGGUGAGUGACACGUGGGUAACCUACCUCAUAGUGGGGGAUAACAGUCGGAAACGACUGCUAAUACCGCAUAGGACAUAGGAUCACAUGAUCCAGUGAGGAAAGGUGGCGCAAGCUAUCGCUAAGAGAUGGACCCGCGGUGCAUUAGCUAGUUGGUAGGGUAAAGGCCUACCAAGGCGAUGAUGCAUAGCCGACCUGAGAGGGUGAUCGGCCACAUUGGGACUGAGACACGGCCCAAACUCCUACGGGAGGCAGCAGUAGGGAAUCUUCCGCAAUGGACGCAAGUCUGACGGAGCAACGCCGCGUGAGUGAAGAAGGUCUUCGGAUCGUAAAGCUCUGUUGUUAGAGAAGAACAGCGCAUAGAGUAACUGCUAUGCGUGUGACGGUAUCUAACCAGAAAGCCACGGCUAACUACGUG
rnacentral:rRNA from 1 species